rnacentral:rRNA from 1 species
GGUGCUUGCACCGGUGGAUUAGUGGCGAACGGGUGAGUAACACGUGAGUAACCUGCCCCUGACUUCGGGAUAAGCCCGGGAAACUGGGUCUAAUACCGGAUAUGACUUCCUGCUGCAUGGCAGGGGGUGGAAAGAUUUAUCGGUUGGGGAUGGACUCGCGGCCUAUCAGCUUGUUGGUGAGGUAAUGGCUCACCAAGGCGACGACGGGUAGCCGGCCUGAGAGGGUGACCGGCCACACUGGGACUGAGACACGGCCCAGACUCCUACGGGAGGCAGCAGUGGGGAAUAUUGCACAAUGGGCGAAAGCCUGAUGCAGCGACGCCGCGUGAGGGAUGACGGCCUUCGGGUUGUAAACCUCUUUCAGUAGGGAAGAAGCCCCUUUUUGGGGUGACGGUACUUGCAGAAGAAGCGCCGGCUAACUACGUGCCAGCAGCCGCGGUAAUACGUAGGGCGCAAGCGUUAUCCGGAAUUAUUGGGCGUAAAGAGCUCGUAGGCGGUUUGUCGCGUCUGCCGUGAAAGUCCGAGGCUCAACCUCGGAUCUGCGGUGGGUACGGGCAGACUAGAGUGAUGUAGGGGGAGACUGGAAUUCCUGGUGUAGCGGGUGAAAUGCGCAAAUAUAUCAGGGAGGAACCACCGAUGGGCGGAAGGCAGGGUCUCUCUGGGGCAUUUUACCUGACGCCUGGAGGAGCCGAAAGCAUGGGGGAAGCGAACAAGGAUUAAGAUACCCCUGGGUAGUCCAUGCCGUAAACGUUGGGCCACUAAGGUUGUGGGGACAAUUCCACCGUUUUCCCGCGCCGUAGCUAACGGCAUUAAGUGCCCCGCCUGGGGGAGUACGGCCGC